rnacentral:tRNA from 1 species
AUUUAAAUAGUUUAAAUAAAACAUAAUAUUGAAGAUAUUAAAAUAAUAUACUUAUUUUUAAAUA